GACGAACGCUGGCGGCGUGCCUAACACAUGCAAGUCGAACGGAGUAAGAGGCUUCGGCCUUUUACUUAGUGGCGAACGGGUGAGUAACGCGUGAGGAACCUGCCUCUCAGUGGGGGACAACAGUUGGAAACGACUGCUAAUACCGCAUAAUGUUUCUGGACCGCAUGAUCUGGAAACCAAAGCUUUAUGUGCUGAGAGAUGGUCUCGCGUCUGAUUAGCUAGAUGGCGGGUAACGGCCACCAUGGCGACGAUCAGUAGCCGGUCUGAGAGGUUGAACGGCCACAUUGGGACUGAGACACGGCCCAGACUCCUACGGGAGGCAGCAGUGGGGGAUAUUGCACAAUGGAGGAAACUCUGAUGCAGCAACGCCGCGUGAGGGAAGAAGGUUUU
rnacentral:rRNA from 1 species